rnacentral:ribozyme from 1 species
UCGAUGUGUGCAGUUUUCAAGUUUUUAAACUGUUUUUUGAUCGCCCUGUCGUUCACUUAAUUUAUGUUAUUUUGUAGUCUGGAAAAGGUGGCAAGGGUGGCAAGGGUGGCAAGGGAGUUGCAUUUUUCUAAACAGAAAAGCCACCCAUUUCAUACAUAUUAUUCAUCAUUAUA